GCAGUUGACGCUGAAGUUGGUCUUGUACCGACUGGAUGAGCAGCGAACGGCCGUAAACGCGUGGGGAAUCUGCCUUUGAGCGGGGGACAACACCUUGAAACGAAUGCUAAUACCGCAUAAAAACUUUAAACACAAGUUUUAAGUUUGAAAGAUGCAAUUGCAUCACUCAAAGAUGAUCCCGCGUUGUAUUAGCUAGUUGGUGAGGUAAAGGCUCACCAAGGCGAUGAUACAUAGCCGACCUGAGAGGGUGAUCGGCCACAUUGGGACUGAGACACGGCCCAAACUCCUACGGGAGGCAGCAGUAGGGAAUCUUCGGCAAUGGACGAAAGUCUGACCGAGCAACGCCGCGUGAGUGAAGAAGGUUUUCGGAUCGUAAAACUCUGUUGGUAGAGAAGAACGUUGGUGAGAGUGGAAAGCUCAUCAAGUGACGGUAACUACCCAGAAAGGGACGGCUAACUACGUGCCAGCAGCCGCGGUAAUACGUAGGUCCCGAGCGUUGUCCGGAUUUAUUGGGCGUAAAGCGAGCGCAGGUGGUUUAUUAAGUCUGGUGUAAAAGGCAGUGGCUCAACCAUUGUAUGCAUUGGAAACUGGUAGACUUGAGUGCAGGAGAGGAGAGUGGAAUUCCAUGUGUAGCGGUGAAAUGCGUAGAUAUAUGGAGGAACACCGGUGGCGAAAGCGGCUCUCUGGCCUGUAACUGACACUGAGGCUCGAAAGCGUGGGGAGCAAACAGGAUUAGAUACCCUGGUAGUCCACGCCGUANACGAUGAGUGCUAGAUGUAGGGAGCUAUAAGUUCUCUGUAUCGCAGCUAACGCAAUAAGCACUCCGCCUGGGGAGUACGACCGCAAGGUUGAAACUCAAAGGAAUUGACG
rnacentral:rRNA from 1 species